rnacentral:misc_RNA from 1 species
GAUGAAGAACGUAGCGAAAUGCGAUACUUGGUGUGUAUUGCAGAAUCCCGUGAACCAUCGAGUCUUUGAACGCAAGUUGCGCCCGAAGCCAUUAGGCCGAGGGCACGCCUGCCUGGGUGUCACACGUCGUUGCCCCCCCAUCUACUCCUUCGGGAUUGCGGGGGGCGGAUGAUGGCCUCCCGUGCGCCUCGUCGCGCGGUUGGCAUAAAUGCCAAGUCCUCGGCGACGCACGCCACGACAAUCGGUGGUUGCGAAACCUCGGUUGCCCGUCGUGUGCGGUCGUCGCGCAUCGAGGGCUCGAAAAAAUUGCCGGGCUCCGGCUCGGCUUUCAACGCGACCCCAGGUCAGGCGGGGUUACCCGCUGAAUUUAAGCAUAUCAAUAAGCGGAGGA